rnacentral:misc_RNA from 1 species
AACCAAAAAAUUAAAAACAUAUGAGAUACCCAUAAGAAAAUGUGUUUAUGCUGCUAUUAUUAACAAUGUGCCUGUGGAAAGUGUCUCAUUUUUGUUAGAAAAAAUUUCUGAACUGUUACACAACACAGUACUGCAAGAAACACCUCACUCAUCCACAGUAAAUCGAAUGGCAUAUGAGCCAGGUAUUUUAGCAUUGGUUCAGGAUGGUGAGGCACUUUUUCAUUGUGAAUGUGCAACAGUAGUGUUUGAUGCAACCACCGUUUUAGACAAACAUGUAAAUGAGUUUCUUAUCAGUACCUAUCCUCCGCAGAGAUAUUAUUCCUUAUCAACCGCUAAACUUGCUGGAGGCACAGGAUUUGACUGUGCCACUCAUAUUGUCAGUGUAAUAAAAGAACUUGCCAAUACAUUUGCAGAGUUUAAAAAUAUGCCAGCAGUAAAAGUUUUAGAUGUUUUCACUCAAAAAAUCAAAAGUUGUCUGUCAAACAGAGCACCUGUUAAUAGUUGUGUGAAAAACAUGCUUCAGGAGGAGAUGGACAUUCAGUUAAUGCAACUGUGCUGCAAUGUUCAUCCAUUAGAAACUAUUGCCUUAAAAGCAUUAUUAGCUCUUAAAACAAUAGAUAAUAAGUUAAAGAUAAAACCAGCUAAAGGAACUGAUGGGGUUGCAGUAACAGUCCUCAAAAAUAUUUCUAAGCUGAGGUAUAGUUUUAAAGGCGAUCCUGCAGCAUUCCAAUGCUAUCUUAAAAAAAACAAUGUUGCUCCAGGGCUAUUCCUUAGAUAUGUUGGUAGUAGAUUUCAUGUUUUUUUCCAUAUGGCAGGGAUUGUUGUUACAUACGAAAGAAUUAUAAAAACCUUUCUUGAAAACCACACCAAAAAUAAAAUUUGCCAACUGUUACUUCAAGAUAUGAGUAAUGAUAUAACGCUUGUGCAACUGCAAGGGUUGGGCCUGAUAGGAAAAAUAAUAACUGGGCCAUGGAUGAGUCUGGUUUAUAAAAAUGCAACAGGAAAGAGUAAUCUUGAGUUUGGUGACAUUUUCCAGAAAGCAAUAAGGAAAUUAGCUUACUUCAAUAGUAAUUCAGAAUCAAUUCUUUAUACAUAUGUGGAUAUUUUUAGUCAAGUAUUAAAUAUCAAAAAAGAUAAGGUACACCAAUCCCUUCGUGUAACAAAAAAAAAAUCUGCUCCACCUCAUACAAUGGAGGCUGAAAAGAUCUUGGACAUGCUUAAUUUUUUUUUUGCAUCGUGCUCCUAAUGCUACUUUUGGUUUUCUGGAUUCUAAAAUAAAAACCAGGGUAAACAAAACAUUAACAUGGCUUGAUCAGAAAACAUUGCCAGAACAAGAAGAUUUUAUUCAAUUUGUAAUUCGCUGAGGAGCUUUAACGUGUCAAGCCUCUAAAAAUUUAAAUAAUCUUUUGUAUGAAGAAAUAGGAAAAAGAUGCGCCAAAGCUAAUUUAAAAAAAGAGCGUCUGGAAAGAAAGCAACUAGAGAAGGAUAUUAAAAGAGCAAUAGCUGAAAAUGCCAAAACCACAAAUCCUCUUUUUGUUAAUAUUAAUGAAAAACAAAAACGAAUUUUAGGAGUAAUUUUGAAAAAUGGAAACUUGAUAGGGCAGCUCUUAAGCCAUAAAUGGGAGCUAGAUGAUGGAUAUUGGAAAGUCAAUGAAGAUGAAGCUGAAGAUAUUGACAUAAGCCAGGAAGGAGUUAUAGCAGAUCUAAUAC